GACGAACGCUGGCGGCGUGCCUAAUACAUGCAAGUAGAACGCAGUUGCGAACGGGUGAGUAAAGCGUAGGUAACUGCCUGGUAGCGGGGGAAUACUAUUGGAAACGAUAGCUAAUACCGCAUACUACCAGAUUGACCUGCGUUGUAUUAGCUAGUUGGUGGGGUCACGGCUCACCAAGGCAACGAUACAUAGCCGACCUGAGAGGGUGAUCCGCCAACCUGGGAAGGAGACACGGCCCAGACUCCUACGGGAGGCAGCAGUAGGGAAUCUUCUGCAAUGGACGGAAGGCUGACCGAGCAACGCCGCGUGAGGUAAGAAGGGUUUCGGAUCGUAAAGCUCUGUUGUAAGAGAAGCGGUAUCUUACCAGAAAGGGACGGCUAACUACGUGCCAGCAGCCGCGGUAAUAC
rnacentral:rRNA from 1 species